ACACACACACACACACACACACACACACACACACACACACACACACACACACACACACACACACACACACACACGCACGUAGUUUUCUUAAUUAGUUAAUUGGUUGCAUCUGGUGCGUUUUACUUAAAAGGGAACCGGACAGUACGUUGGAGUCCUCUACUGUUUGGAAUUGUAGCGUCUCCCAAACGCGGUAUGUUGUGUUCCCAGAAACAAGAAUGUGCGUGUAAUGUUGUGUUGAGCUCUGUUGUAACUUUUUGACAUCUCUUCCAGUUUCACAGGUUAAAGACUUUUUGAAGUAAAGAGGAGCAUCUCAUCUGAACCUGAUGUCUAUCAUGGAUAUUUAACUGCAGUUCUGUGAGUAUCCCAACUUGACCAUGAAGAUGAACUGCAAACUGUAAGUCAUUAGUUUCUCGUUACUCUUGGGCACAUUGAUGUAUUUUGGCUUCCUGGUGAGUUAACCUGUUAGCUGAAGGUUGAUCUGAGUAUUAAGGAUGUUUCAUUGGUUCAUGGGUUACUUAGGUGUUUGGUUUAUGUUGGUUUUAAUGUUUUUUUAUAAUGGUCACAGGCUCCAAGUUAUUGUUGUAAGCUGGAGUAAUGGGUUGGGUUCUGAUAUCUUUAGUCUUCUUCCCAGCUACUCUCCUGAGCUCUGCAUCUUCAUCACGUGAGUGUUGCUUUAUUUAUGAGGGUGUGGUCUGAGUGAGCAGAGGUGCAUACUGGGAUACAGAGUUGUCUGAAGUCUACAGGUCUGUAGACACGCCCCCGCAGAGGAAACCGUGUGUUUGAGAAACGGUCGUGACAUCAGUUACAUGGACUAGAAUGUUCUUUAAGAUGGAGACAGGGAUUCAGAAGGAGAAACACCAGGGGGAGAUGAGGGGGCUCCUCAUCUCAACGACUAAAACACAACUUCAGUCUGAUGCAGAACCAUGGAACACAUUCAACCGUCCCCUCCAGGCAUCGUGACUCCUCAGGAACAGUUUCAUUUCCAAGAAGGUCUUAUUUGGGGCCAUUCCAAGAUGGAUCCUGCUCCUCAAGAGCCACCCCCCUCCACUGGGUUGUCUUAUGAACAGAUGACCUCCUUCCUGUCCUCAGGCUGACUAAAGCUGCACCGCUUGCUGUGAAGGCCCCUCAUUCAGGAAUCCAUUGGACUACAAAGACAUGACUUCAGAGACGUUGAAUCAACCUGGGACACAUUUUGGACGCCAAACAUAAUCCAUCACCAAUGUGGGAUGCCAAUGAAGAAUGUUGUACAUAAUUUACGUCCCUGGAGACAUUGGUUGUUCUGUUCUGGGUGUCCUGGCAGGAGAGCUGGGGGUGGAUGAUGGAAUGUCCUUUGGGAUGAGGUUUUUACCCUGCAUGAUUGUUUUGCCUUUUAUGGCUGUGUUGUUUGUUGGUUUGACAUGAGGUGGAUGAUUUUUGUGUGUCACUCACACCUGGCAUGGGGUUCUGUGUGUGUGUGUGUGACAGUGAUAAUGGUCUUUGACAGUGAUAAUGGUGCUUCCCGCCGUGGGGGUCUCUUGUGAUUGGCUUGGGAUAUUGGAAUGGUCAAAUAAAUCAUACCUGAUGGACGGCUACACGUUUACUUGAGGCCUCCAGUAGACAUGAAGAGCACGGAGCAACGCUCCGGAGAGAUAUCAAACACACUGGGCAGGAAGGAGAGUUUCCAAAUCAAGUGUAAAUGGAUGCAAGCGGCGUGUUCAGAUCAGUGACUUCAAACUAGGACCACACAAAUCAGGAUCAAUGGAGGAUGGACACCUAAAGGCAUUCCACAAGGAGAGUCUGACGUUGGAAAGGGGCCUCGAUGGAUAUUCAAGAUGACCUUCAGACCUGUAAUGAGACGGCUCUUCCUACCUGGCUGGAUUGAUGGAGAGCCCUGUGGAUCUUGUCUUGCUCUCAGUUGCACGUCUUCUCAGGCUGAACUGUAUUUGUUUUAGACAGGACUAGCUGAACGAUUGGUUCCCUUAAAUCAGAACCUAUCUGGGAACUCCAACUAGUGCGCUCUUCGAGCUGAAGUUGUGCUCUUCAGCUGAGGAGGUAAGGAAACCUUCACUGGGGAUUCAAGAUGUAAAGAGGAGACUGUUUCAAAGUGUUCCAUGGUACUCUGAUGAAGACCGUUGUUGCGUUCCACUGGCUGAGAGGAAGAACCCUCACAUCUUCCUCUUGGCCUUUCUCCUCAGAGUCCUGGCGCCAUCUUGAAGGAUAUUCCGGGGCAUGUAACUGUUGUCACGACAGAUUCUCAAACACUUGGUUUCUCCUGAGGGGCUUCUCUAUAGAACUGAAGACUUCAGACAGCACUGUAUCCCAGCAUGCAUCUCUGCUCACUCAGACCACACCCUAAUGAGUAGGAUGCAACACUCUAGUAAUGGAGAUGUAGAGUUUAUAAGUAACGAGGGAGCAGACAAAGGUGAUUAGAACACAAUGGCAUGUCAAGUCUGUAAAUCUUUAAACCAUGAAGAUGGUUGGAUAGAUCAGGAAUUGGGCUUUAUUUUUUAUGGGCAGUCCUUUCGCUCAAAUGCCCACUUCUCGCUGGACCUGUACAUGUGUUGGCUGGCUGGCAUGAUUUGCUGUUGGUGAUGAGUAGGUCAGGGUGACGUUGCAGGGCUAUGGUCGGCUCUCUGUGAGCUCAACAUUUAGAUUUGCUCUUUAUGGUUUGUACCAUGAAUAAUCUAGAUAAUUGUAAAAUGUAGACAUGGUUUUGUAUUGAAUGAUUCCAUUGUUUUUAGGCAAGGAUUUGUUGUUGUGGGAUGUACAUGGUAGUUUGGUUCUUCGUACGGUUUUGAUUGAUAUAACUUGUACACACUGGGUGCAUAAUAAUGUAAAAGUAUACUGAAUAGUAGUAAUUACCAACAGCAACAAACAGAUCUCCUCAAGGUAAGUCUGUUGGCUGUGUUUUAAUGUAGACCAUCGCUGGACUUCAGGAUCUUCCUCCGUUCAGCUCAAGGUGAGGCGCUGGUUCUGUUUUUUCUUUGGUUGGUUCCGGCCGGAAUGUUCGGAUUCCAGUCGGACGGUUUGUGCUUCCCGCCGUGGAAGGUUUUGAGUGCGGUCACUUGAUUUAGUCCCAAUGGUUAGCAUAGAACGUUGUAGUCUUGACCCCCAUUAGAAGCCACCUGGCAGUUAGUUGGACAGGAAUCUGUCUGAACGUUCUGGAUUGUAUUUGCGUAACCUUGAGCCGUUGCCAACGGAAACUAUUUUUCAGUUGUUUCCAUUGGGAAUUGUUGGCCCUUAUCUUAAACAACUUAAGUUUGAUAUUAAAUACAUACUGACACGUACAUCGUACAAUAUGUUGAUCAUUUUCGAUGGUUGCGCCGUACUUUUAUCCACGUUGACGGGACUCUCGCUGCGUACAAAACUGCGUUCUACUUGCGGGCCCAUUUCUGACAUCAGUGAAGGCUGAAAAUCAUUUCAAGGUGGAAGACAAUUUGACUUUCCUUCAACGGAAUCCAGCACCUGAAUAUGAAUGGGUAAAUUUGAUUUAAUAUCAAUACUGCUUAGUGUUCUUUGGUACUUCAGCUUUUGUACCUUCUAAAUAUCUGCGGUCAUUAAUUGCCACAGAAGUUAUACCCCACCUAAUGGAUUGACGUUAAACAACGACUGAGUUGCUGAGUUACCAACUGGAUAAUAUCAAAGCUAAAAUAAUGGCCGUCCUUCCCACGUGUUACAGUAGUAGACACUCUAGAACUGUACAAGGUUAAAAAGGUAACUUGUAGUUUGUCCCAAGGUGUCCACCUCCUCACCCAGAGCCAGACCUCCACCUCCUGUCACAAGUCCUCCAGAACAGCUGAAAGGCGAGGCUGAGAGGCUGGGGACCGGAGGCUUGUGGUGCCAGGGUGGACCGGAGACUGAGGCUGGAGACCAGGGGCCUGCAGCACCGGAUCAGAGGACCAGGAAUCCAUGGCUGAAGGAGCUGAUGGAGGAGCAAUGCUGAAGGCCCUGCCUGGUGGAGGAGCUGACGGAGGCCCUGCCUGGUGGAGGAUGUCUGUCGUGGGACCAGGACUCUGUCUGAGGAGAGCUGAUGGAGGAGCUGAGACGCUGGAGGACGACUAGGAAUCGACCAACAAGGUUCCUCAAUGUGUUUCUGGAGCGGAGGCGAGCUGGUAGGGGAGCCAUGAAUCUGGAGGAUGACCAUCACUUAACCAACAAGGAUUAUCAGGACUGUGGCUGAGGAGAGCUGAUGGAGGAGCCAAGACUCUAGAGGACGACAUCACUCCACCAACCAGGAUCCUCACCAGGAAUCUGGAGGACUGACGGAGAAGCCGAACAUCUGGAAGGCAAAUCCUGAGGGCGACCAGGACUCUACCAUCAAGGAUUCCUCACACACCUGAGCUGAACCUCACCUGAUCCUGUCUGGGCGGGGGCAGACACACCUGAGCUGAACCCCACCUGAUCCGGACAUCCUGCUGAUCCUGUCUCCUCAGUUCAUCUGAGCCUCUUCCUCCAGAAGACCUGCUGAGCUCAGCACUCUGAGGCUGAUGGAUCAAUGACCUCCAGUGGGAGUGAUCUUCUUGACCCCACAUAUACCCGUGUGCUUCCACACGCCUUUCCCUCAAGUCUGUCACUAACCUCACUACUCUCUACUCCUUCCCCUUCUUUCUUCUCCGUUGUUCGAACCUUUACUCUGAAGGAGUGUCUCCUUAAACCUUUACACUGAAGGAGUGUCUUCCUGUCCUCAAAGGGUUCAGCGUUAGGGUUGAGAGUCAGGGUUUAGAGUCAGGGACAGAGCUGGUCAGUGAGUGCUGGUUUUACACAAACCUCUUCACUUGCUUUCUGAAUGGUGGUGACAUUUUGAAAAGUUUCAUUUGGGAAAAUGUUUUCCUCUGCUUUCCGUUGCAAAAAUAUGUAUUAAACUUCUGUGUUUGUAACCAGACCAGGAAUCCAUGGCUGAAGGAGCUGAUGGAGGAGCCAUGCUGAAGGCCCUGCCUGGUGGAGGAGCUGAUGGAGGCCCUGCCUGGUGGAGGUUGUCUGUCGUGGGGUAGAUGGAGCCUGACUCUGAGACCAGGACUCUGUCUGAGGAGAGCUGAUGGAGGAGCUGAGACGCUGGAGGACGACUAGGAAUCAACCAACAAGGAUUCCUCAAUGUGUUUCUGGAGCGGAGGCGAGCUGAUAGGGGAGCCGUGAAUCUGGAGGAUGACCAUCACUCUACCAACAAGGAUUACCAGGAAUCUGGAGGACUAACUAAGAAGCCGUACAUCUGGAAAGCAAAUCCUGAGGACGACCAGGACUCUACCAUCAACGAUUCCUCACACACCUGAGCUAAACCCCACCUGAUCCGGACAUCCUGCUUGUCCCGUCUCCUCAGUUCAUCUGAGCCUCGUCCUCCAGAAGUCCUGCUGAGCUCAGCGGUCUGAGGCUGAUGGAUCAAUGACCUCCAGUGGGAGUGAUCUUCUUGACCCCACAUGUAGCCGUGUGCUUCCACACGCCUUUCCCUCAAGUCUGUCACUAACCUCACUACUUCACUACUCUCUACUCCUUCCGCUUCUUCUUCCUUCUCAGUGGUUCGAACCGUUACUCCGAAGGAGUGUCUCCUUGAACCUUUACACUGAAGGAGCGUCUUCCUGCCCUCAGAGGGUUCAGCGUUAGGGUUGAGAGUCAGGGUUUAGAGUCAGGGACAGAGCUGGUCAGGGAGGACUGCUUUUACACAAACCUCUUCACUUGCUUUCUGAAUGGUGACAUUUUGAAAAGAUUCAUCUGGGCAAAUGUUUUCCUCUGCUUGUAUUUGUAUGUAUAUGUAUUUAACUUCCGUCAAUUGUUUUUAUAUUAAAAUCCCACAUUGACUUCUGCAUUUUGGUGCUGUUCAUUUAAUUGUCCUUUAACUUGACAAUUGUCAAGUUAAACUCCUGCAAUACAUUUAAUAUACAUGAUGAAUGUUAUUCAGCAAUGUUCCCAUAAUCGAUUUUGUAAAAAUAUAAAACAUCCAUAUUACUACUAAA
ensembl:lncRNA